UUGCUCUUCAACGAGGAAUACCUAGUAAGCGCGAGUCAUCAGCUCGCGUUGAUUACGUCCCUGCCCUUUGUACACACCGCCCGUCGCUACUACCGAUUGAAUGGCUUAGUGAGGUCUUGGGAUUGGCUCCGGGAAGCCGGCGACGGCAUCCUGUUGCUGAGAACUUGAUCAAACUUGGUCAUUUAGAGGAAGUAAAAGUCGUAACAAGGUUUCCGUAGGUGAACCUGCGGAAGGAUCAUUAAUGAACUUUGAAGGGGUUGUAGCUGGCUCGCAAGGGCAUGUGCACACCCCGUUCAAUCCAUCUCACCCCUGUGCACCACAAUGUAGGGAUGGCGGACCGUGAGGUCUUCCGUCUCUAUGUCAUUUACAAACUCGAUAGUAUCAGAAUGUAAACGCGUGUAACGCAUCUUAUACAACUUUCAGCAACGGAUCUCUUGGCUCUCGCAUCGAUGAAGAACGCAGCGAAAUGCGAUAAGUAAUGUGAAUUGCAGAAUUCAGUGAAUCAUCGAAUCUUUGAACGCACCUUGCGCCCCUCGGUAUUUCGAGGAGCAUGCCUGUUUGAGUGUCAUGGAAUCAUCAACCUCAACACCUUGUCGUGUUGAAGGCUUGGACUUGGAGGCUUAUGCCGGCGUCAGUCGGCUCCUCUGGAAUGCAUUAGCUGGACUUUGAGUCUGGUUGCACGGUGUAAUAAUUAUCUGCAUCGUCGGCCUCUCUGUGGGACCAGCUUCCAACCGUCACCUUCACGGAGACAAUUCUACUUGACCUCUGACCUCAAAUCAGGUAGGACUACCCGCUGAACUUAAGCAUAUCAAUAAGCGGAGGA
rnacentral:rRNA from 1 species